GUUCCUACGGGAGGCAGCAGUGGGGGAUAUUGCACAAUGGGGGGAACCCUGAUGCAGCGACGCCGCGUGAGUGAAGAAGUAUCUCGGUAUGUAAAGCUCUAUCAGCAGGGAGGAAGCAAGACGGUACCUGACUAAGAAGCCCCGGCUAACUACGUGCCAGCAGCCGCGGUAAUACGUAGGGGGCGAGCGUUAUCCGGAUUUACUGGGUGUAAAGGGAGCGUAGACGGCAUGGCAAGUCUGGAGUGAAAGCCCGGGGCCCAACCCCGGGACUGCUCUGGAACUACAUGGCUUGAUUGCAGGAGAGG
rnacentral:rRNA from 1 species